rnacentral:lncRNA from 1 species
UUCGCAAAAGAAGGAGAUCUUCAAAUUCAGACAUUGAUGAGAAGUCUCUCACUCAAGCACAUCGCUAUGUAUUAUUCAAUGUUGAGUCAGUUACACCUUUUCGAGAGGAACACAAACGGAUAGUCAAGGGACAAUACGGUUCUCGUCGGAUACCAGAUUAUGAAAUGAGCAAGAUUCAUGGCCAACAGUUUGCUGACUGGUUCAAGAAAAGGGUUGCACGUUUGGAAGAGCAAGGUGAUGAAGUAACUGAAGAUCUAAAAUGGCUUGCUCGUGGUCCGCUUAGAAGUGUGAAUCGAUACUCUGGAUACCUUGUUAAGGGUUAUCGUUUUCAUACAAAAAGUCGAGAGAAGUCACUAAAAACCCAAAACAGUGGUGUUGUUGUUACUGUAGAAGGUGAAAAUUAUGCUAGUAGUCGAGAUAGAAGGCCUGUUCAAGGUGUGGUUAACUACUAUGGUAAAUUGAAUGACAUUAUU